rnacentral:rRNA from 1 species
AGUGAACGCUGGCGGUAGGCCUAACACAUGCAAGUCGAACGGCAGCACAGGAGAGCUUGCUCUCUGGGUGGCGAGUGGCGGACGGGUGAGGAAUACAUCGGAAUCUACUUUUUCGUGGGGGAUAACGUAGGGAAACUUACGCUAAUACCGCAUACGACCUACGGGUGAAAGCAGGGGACCUUCGGGCCUUGCGCGAUUGAAUUAGCCGAUGUCGGAUUAGCUAGGUUGGCGGGGUAAAGGCCCACCAAGGCGAGGAUCCGUAGCUGGUCUGAGAGGAUGAUCAGCCACACUGGAACUGAGACACGGUCCAGACUCCUACGGGAGGCAGCAGUGGGGAAUAUUGGACAAUGGGCGCAAGCCUGAUCCAGCCAUACCGCGUGGGUGAAGAAGGCCUUCGGGUUGUAAAGCCCUUUUGUUAGGAAAGAAAUCCAGCUGGCUAAUACCCGGUUGGGAUGACGGUACCCAAAGAAUAAGCACCGGCUAACUUCGUGCCAGCCGCCGCGGUAA